UCCUACGGGAGGCAGCAGUCGGGAAUAUUGCGCAAUGGAGGAAACUCUGACGCAGUGACGCCGCGUGCAGGAAGAAGGUUUUCGGAUUGUAAACUGCUUUAGACAGGGAGGAAAAAAGACAGUACCUGUAGAAUAAGCUCCGGCUAACUACGUGCCAGCAGCCGCGGUAAUACGGAGGGUGCGAGCGUUAAUCGGAAUUACUGGGCGUAAAGCGCUCGUAGGCGGUAUGUCAAGUCAAGGGUGAAAUCCCCGCGCUCAACGUGGGAACUGCCUUUGAAACUGGCAAACUGGAGUGUGUGAGAGGA
rnacentral:rRNA from 1 species